rnacentral:rRNA from 1 species
AAUCUGCCUCUAGGACGGGGACAACAGUUGGAAACGGCUGCUAAAACCCGAUGUGCCCUUCGGGGUGAAAUAUUUAUAGCCUGAAGAUGAGCUCGCGUCUGAUUAGCUAGUAGGUGAGGUAAAGGCUCACCUAGGCGACGAUCAGUAACUGGUCUGAGAGGAUGACCAGUCACACUGGGACUGAGACACGGCCCAGACUCCUACGGGAGGCAGCAGUGGGGAAUUUUCCGCAAUGGGCGCAAGCCUGACGGAGCAAUACCGCGUGAGG